rnacentral:lncRNA from 1 species
AAUUUCUAUAAGCAUCAAGAGUAAGAAAACUAUAAUUUCCAUGCAGAAUAUUUAAAGAUUCUGCUCAGACUUGGCAUGUUCCUUUGUACUCACAUUCCAUUGGCCAAAUAUGCCGGGCACAAAGAAGUGUUCACUAGAAGUCAGAAGAAUUCUAUAAACCUGAAGACUAAUCUUUUAGAAAAAUCAUCAGAAGGAGGGAAUUUGUGGAAAUAAAACUGGAAACAUUCAGAAUCUUGAUGGUGUGCCAAACCAAAUGUCAACUGGAGCUCGGCCAAAAACUCAAGUGAGUAGCUUUCUUACAGAAUAUUCUGGGUGUAGUGCAGUGCCCCACUCAUGCAGUGAAGAGAGUGCCAUACUUGAACAUUCUCUGUUACUUUUUGUGUUUUAAGUUAAACAUAAAGGUUGACUUUCUUUUUAUUGUAACAUGAUUUGUAAUGAAAAACAUAUAUAGUUAAUAUUUAUAAAAUUGCAAAAAAAUGCAUUCUGUGAUUUUAAGAUAAAAUCGGUAGUCCAUUGUGAUAUGUAGAGUUAUAGCAGGGGAUUGUAUACACUUCAAUUAAUUUCUUAAUUAUUAAUGAAAAUUCCUGAUGCAGUUGAAGAUUUCCUUGAAUUACUAUUAUAAAGCUUUUCCCUAAUAAGAUAGUACACGUCUCUAUGAUAAGCAUUCCAGCAAAGAGGCAUCAGAUUGGGGAAUACAUCUGUAAAACAUCACUUAUGAACACUAAGUUCACUUUAUUUAAAUAAUUGUCUUUGCUCUACCAAGCUAAAUAAUUCCCAGGAAUUUGUUUUUGCUGUUGUGUUUGGUAUAUUUUUAAUAAAUAAAAAAUUGACUAGCCUUUUUUAUAAAUA